GACGAACGCUGGCGGCGCGCCUAACACAUGCAAGUCGAACGAGCGAGCGAGACCUUGCUUUCUUGAGCGAGUGGCGAACGGGUGAGUAACGCGUGAGGAACCUGCCCCUAAGAGGGGGACAACAGUUGGAAACGACUGCUAAUACCGCAUAAGACCACGUUGCCCCAUGGCACAGAUGGAAAAGGAGCAGUCUGCUUUGAGAUGGCCUCGCGUCCGAUUAGCUGGUUGGUGGGGUAACGGCCCACCACGGCGACGAAGGGUAGACGGACUGAGAGGUUGAACGGCCACAUUGGGACUGAGACACGGCCCAGAAUCCUCCGGGAGGCAGGAGUGGGGAAUAUUGCAGCAUGGGGGAAGACCUGAUGCAGCGACGCCGCGUGGAGGAAGAAGGUCUUCGGAUUGUAAACUCCUGUUGUUGGGGAAGAUAAUGACGGUACCCAAUAAGGAAGUAACGGCUAACUACGUG
rnacentral:rRNA from 1 species